rfam:Schistosoma curassoni strain Dakar, Senegal genome assembly, scaffold: SCTD_scaffold0002596
GCACUGCUAAGGAGUCCCGCAAUAGGACGAAACGGCCGUCCAGUGC